GGGAUAGAAGCUCAGUGGUUGAGCAAUCGAUUGCAGUAUUACAUAAUAUGCUUACAUAAUCGAUAGGCCGCGUGUUCGAUCCACGCCUGUCCCU